UACAGAGGUCCCAAGCGUUGUUCGGAUUCAUUGGGCGUAAAGGGUGCGUAGGCGGUGGAGUAAGUUGGAUGUGAAAUCUUGGGGCUUAACCUCAAAAUUGCAUUCAAUACUGCUUCGCUCGAGUUCUGUAGAGGAGAUUGGAAUUUACGGUGUAGCAGUGAAAUGCGUAGAUAUCGUAAGGAACGCCAGUGGCGAAAGCGAAUCUCUGGGCAGCAACUGACGCUGAGGCACGAAGGCCAGGGGAGCAAACGGG
rnacentral:rRNA from 1 species